AAGAAAAUGUUACAUUACCGGCGGAAUUAUUAGGGGCGGACUAAAUCCGCCGCUAAUAGUAGGGUUUAUUUUUUAAAAAAAUAAAAUAAUAUUGAAAGAAUUGGUUUGUGCGGGAAUUCUCCCGGUAUUAAAUUUCAAAUUUAUUAGCGGCGGACUAUUACCGGCGGAAGUCCGCCACUAAUAAUAUUAAAUAAUAUUUUAAAUAUUAUACUUUUAUUAUUACCGGCGGAUCCUAUUAUUACCGGCGGAUCUCCGCCCCUAAUAAUUUUAUAUAUAUAUCAUCUUCAUCUUUACUCUUCAUUAAUUUCUAUUUCUCUCUCUCUUCGUCUCUUCGUCUCCGUCCUUACCACCAUCAAUUCCUCUCCUCUUGCUCCUUUAAAUCCACCCCUACAUCUCACCAAAUUAAUGAUAGUCUCCUCUAAUGGUUAUUUUCUCUCUGUGGAAAUGCUAGAGCACUACGACAAAGGAAAUCAAAAGGAAACCAUUAUUUUUGGGAGUAACAUUUUUACUUAUCCUCAUACGCCAACAAUUUCGGAAUCAAUUUUAAGAUAGACCGCUUAGGUGAUCUUCGCAUGGCACGGUAGAUGAAGAGCUUCACCAAAUUGACCUUUAUUGUUUUGAAGUGAUGAUGAACAACAUUAAUGAUUAGUUUAUGCAUUUAAUUUGUAAACUUAGUUAAUGUAAUUAUUUAGUUGGAUAGUAUGAGUAUUAGUUAGUUUGUUUAAUGGAUAUUGUAAUUUUAUAUUAAUUUUAAAUUUGAUUUAUAUUUAAAUUAGAUAAUUGGUUUUUAA